rnacentral:lncRNA from 1 species
UUCUCUUCAUCCAGGUGAUAAAGUCAUCCCGCUGUUCUCUCCCCAGUGUGGAAAAUGCAGGAUCUGCAAGCACCCGGAAAGCAACCUCUGUUGCCAAACUAAGAAUCUGACACAGCCUAAGGGAGCUUUGCUCGACGGCACCAGCAGGUUCUCCUGCAGGGGAAAGCCCAUUCACCACUUCAUCAGCACCAGCACCUUCUCCCAGUAC